UACGUAGGGUGCAAGCGUUGUCCGGAAUUAUUGGGCGUAAAGAGCUCGUAGGCGGUCUGUCGCGUCUGCUGUGAAAACUCGGGGCUUAACCCCGGGCCUGCAGUGGGGUACGGGCAGACUAGAGUGCGGUAGGGGAGACUGGAAUUCCUGGUGUAGCGGUGAAAUGCGCAGAUAUCAGGAGGAACACCGGUGGCGAAGGCGGGUCUCUGGGCCGUAACUGACGCUGAGGAGCGAAAGCAUGGGGAGCGAACAGG
rnacentral:rRNA from 1 species